CCUGCCCCUAGAGAAAUGGCAGGUGUGGCUGCCGUGCCACAUGUGUGUCAGUAGGUGGCAGAGAGGAGAAAAUAAGAGUGCCCUUAGUGUUCUGACCAAUGAACAUCUGAGUGAUUGGUAGCUAACAUU
ensembl:snoRNA LOC120101301 small nucleolar RNA SNORA17